CCCUCGGUGGUCUAGGGGUUUAUGAUUCAUCGCACAGUCUCUUGACUGUUACCGAUAAGGUCGGGGGUUCGAAUCCCUCCCAAAUGG